rnacentral:rRNA from 1 species
AGCUCCAAUAGCGUAUAUUAAAGUUGUUGCAGUUAAAAAGCUCGUAGUUGGAUUUCUGGUAGGAGUAGUGACUAUGGGUCUUUGACCUAUGAAGUUGCUAUCUUCAACCAUCCUUGAAGAGAUUUAGUUUGGCAUUAAGUUGUCGAACUAAAGAUAUUCAUCUUUUACUGUGAAAAAAUCAGAACGUUCAAAGUAAGCAUUUAGCUUUGAAUGUAUUAGCAUGGAAUAAUGAAAUAGGACUUAGGUACUACUUUGUUGGUUUAUGCACCUAGGUAAUGAUUAAUAGGGAUAGUUGGGGGUAUUCGUAUUCCAAUGUUAGAGGUGAAAUUCUUGGAUUUUUGGAAGACGAACAACUGCGAAAGCAUUUACCAAGGAUGUUUUCAUUA